CUCAAUAGUCACAUGUGACUAGUGGCUACCACAUUGGAUCAUGAAGAGAGAGAACAUUUCCAAGUUUUAUUAGUGCAGAAGCAGGUGGAGGAAAAUGUGCCAGCUAAUGCUUCCUCUGGGUGUUGUCCAGAGUGCUGAAUUUCUGGGCAGCCAGGGGGCCCUUGCUCUGCUAUGGGUUGAAGAUUCAGCCUGAUCACUUCUUGUCAAAGUUGGGGAGUCUGAGCUGGUUCUGGGCCUAGCAAGGCAAUCUACUCUGUUAAAGUCGAUAGAGGGAGAAGCUGGGGAGAACACCGCAAUUUUUUCUAUGAGCCCUCUGUAGAGGGCGGGUGGUGGGGGCUCCACAGACUGCUCCUUGGUUCCACAGGCCAUGCCCGGAGGUGCUGGCUUCGAGCCCUUCAGACAAGUAAGGUCAGCUCUGCCCCCUCCUGCUUCACUUGCCCUGUAGCUGUGGAUGCUACUACUAGGGAGGUCCUGCCUGGGGCCCUGCAGGUGUGCAGCUCAGAGCCCGCUGAGCCCCCAGGAACCCCUCCUGCCUCUCACAGCCAUCUAGAUGCAGCUCCUCUGCCCACUGUUGUCUACUCUAAAGGUAACACCCAAAGGUAGGGAAAGGGUAGGGGCACUUGGGCUUAGAGACCACCCCCUGGCACUGAUGAUCCCCACUGCAGGACUUCAGAGAGGCUCUCCAGCAGGCGCCUGGGACUCGGACCAAAAUGGCAACUCCAAGCGUGCUUUGGGGGACCCUGCCACUCCCACGGAAGGUCCUCGCCGCCCACCUCCCCGUCCUCCCUGUCGGCUCAGCAUGGGCCGCCGUCACAAACUCUGUAGCCCUGACCCGGGCCAGGCCAACAACAGUGAAGGCAGCGACCAUGACUACCUGCCCUUG
rnacentral:sRNA from 1 species